rnacentral:rRNA from 1 species
GACGAACGCUGGCGGCGUGCUUAACACAUGCAAGUCGAGCGAUGAAGUUCCUUCGGGAAUGGAUUAGCGGCGGACGGGUGAGUAACACGUGGGUAACCUGCCUCAUAGAGGGGAAUAGCCUUUCGAAAGGAAGAUUAAUACCGCAUAAGAUUGUAGCUUCGCAUGAAGCAGCAAUUAAAGGAGUAAUCCGCUAUGAGAUGGACCCGCGUCGCAUUAGCUAGUUGGUGAGGUAACGGCUCACCAAGGCGACGAUGCGUAGCCGACCUGAGAGGGUGAUCGGCCACAUUGGGCCUGAGACACGGCCCAGACUCCUACGGGAGGCAGCAGUGGGGAAUAUUGCACAAUGGGGGAAACCCUGAUGCAGCAACGCCGCGUGAGUGAUGACGGUCUUCGGAUUGUAAAACUCUGUCUUCAGGGACGAUAAUGACGGUACCUGAGGAGGAAGCCACGGCUAACUACGUGCCAGCCGCCGCGGUAAAAC